GGGGAAUUUUGGACAAUGGGCGCAAGCCUGAUCCAGCCAUGCCGCGUGAGUGAAGAAGGCCUUCGGGUUGUAAAGCUCUUUCGGCCGGGAAGAAAUCGUGUUCUCUAACAUAGGACAUGGAUGACGGUACCGGACUAAGAAGCACCGGCUAACUACGUGCCAGCAGCCGCGGUAAUACGUAGGGUGCGAGCGUUAAUCGGAAUUACUGGGCGUAAAGCGUGCGCAGGCGGUUUUGUAAGACAGAUGUGAAAUCCCCGGGCUUAACCUGGGAACGGCGUUUGUGACUGCAAGGCUGGAGUACGGCAGAGGGGGGUGGAAUUCCACGUGUAGCAGUGAAAUGCGUAGAGAUGUGGAGGAACACCGAUGGCGAAGGCAGCCCCCUGGGCCUGUACUGACGCUCAUGCACGAAAGCGUGGGGAGCAAACA
rnacentral:rRNA from 1 species